GACGAACGCUGGCGGCGUGCCUAAUACAUGCAAGUCGAACGCACUCUCGUUUAGAUUGAAGGAGCUUGCUCCUGAUUGAUAAACAUUUGAGUGAGUGGCGGACGGGUGAGUAACACGUGGGUAACCUGCCCUAAAGUGGGGGAUAACAUUUGGAAACAGAUGCUAAUACCGCAUAAAACCUAACACCGCAUGGUGUAGGGUUGAAAGAUGGUUUCGGCUAUCACUUUAGGAUGGACCCGCGGUGCAUUAGUUAGUUGGUGAGGUAAAGGCUCACCAAGACCGUGAUGCAUAGCCGACCUGAGAGGGUAAUCGGCCACACUGGGACUGAGACACGGCCCAGACUCCUAGGGAGGCAGCAGUAGGGAAUCUUCCACAAUGGACGAAAGUCUGAUGGAGCAACGCCGCGUGAGUGAAGAAGGUUUCGGAUCGUAAAACUCUGUUGUUGGAGAAGAAUGUAUCUGAUAGUAACUGAUCAGGUAGUGACGGUAUCC
rnacentral:rRNA from 1 species